CCACCUUCAAACGACACAGCGAGAGCUUGUCGUCUCUCUGUACGUGAACAGCUUUCAGAUAGCUCGGUGUCUGGCGCGUCCUGGACUAGAUAGAAGAAGCUCCAGCCAUGCUGGCAUGUCUUAACCCUGUGAGGCAAGAUGAGGAAGCAUCUCACAAGGUUAAUCUGCCAUGAGAGGCAACGGCAUGGACAUGUUCUGGAGAAUUAUUGCAGCUCUGAGCUUCGACUGCUGUAAAAACACUCCAUCCUCAUCUCAGAGAUCAUCUAAGAAGCUGGGCUCCAGCCAGGCGGCGAGCAUGGAGAGCAGCUCUCUGACCGGCAGCCUGUCCCUGGCGUCUGACGUGCCUCACUGCCAGUGCUGCAUCACGUACGAGGCCCGCCUGAAGCGCCUGUCCUGCGGGCACCUGUACUGCGACCCCUGCACCGAUCAGAUCGUCAACCUGGCGUUUGAAGACAUCGAGGGUCUGGCGGAGUACCCCUGCCCCAUGUGCAAAUCCCUCCGCCAGCUCAGCGGACUGCACACCUUCCCGUCCGGCAACAUCACGCCCUACUGCUCGCCUUUCGGGAGCCAGAAGCAGCGACUGGUGGAGGAGAGAGGAGGACAGUGGGACUGAGGGACUCUGGGGGGGUGUGGAGGGAUUGUGUUAUAAAACGAGUAUUUCAGUGAACUCAAGUGAACUGAAGAUGGUAUUUAUCAUCAGGAUUCCGUAUCAGUCACCAGUCAUCCGUAAUUUAAAACGUAGUCAUUUCUGAAGCAUUUUAUCAAGUUAUUCUAAGUUAAUUAUUUAUAUAAGAGAUGAUUCUUCUUCUUCAUCACUGUGUUGUUGCACUAAUGGGAGCAGCAGUUUUACAUGCUUGCUUUAAAGCUGCGCUCUCUACAUUUUUAUUUUUAAUUGAAAGCAUCUUUAUCUAUAUCUUGUCUAAAAGCAGAGUACAGGGUGGUCUGGUAGGUUUGCCUGAUGUAAUUGUUUUCUCUCUAUAUUGGGAAAGUAUUUCAUACAUGAAGUAAAUGAACUAAACAGUACACUCCAAAAAAAAACACACAGUACUUUUCUUAAUGCUUGAUGCAAUUGCACAUUCUCACCAGAGAGGUCUCCAAAUCCCCAAUUUCUGUUGCUUUUUUAUUUUUAUUUAUUUAUUUUUUUAAUAUAAUUUAUUUCUAAAUUUUGCUAUUUCUCCCGCCAAUUCAGCUGUUACUCAGCUAUAGAUCCCCCUAUCACUAGUGAUGCCACAACACAAGGAGGGUGAAGAAUAGCACAUGCUUCCUCCAAUACAUGUGAAGUCAGACUCUGCCUCUUUUUAAACAUUGCCGAGUAGCAUCACAGCGCACUUGGAGGAAAGCGCAGCGACUCAGUUCUGAUACAUCAGCUUACAGACAUCACCCUUGGAGUGAUGUGGGGAGAGAGCACCAUCUACCCACCCGAGAAAGAGCAAGGUUAAUUGUGCUUUCUCGGGGCUCUGGCAGCUGAUGGCAAGCUGCAUAACUGGGAUUCGAACCAGCGAUCUCCCAAUCAUAGUGGCAGCACUUUAGACUGCUGGACCACUCGACUGUUGAUUUAAGUGAAUUGCAACUUCCAAGAAGCUCCAUCAGAAACUUGAAGCUGACUGUGUUAGUUUGUUUAGUGAAAAAACUAUUUAUUUGUAUUUUAUUUAAAUACAAAAAACAAAAAAAUAUGAUUGUUUUAAAUGAUAUAACCAUCACUGCCCACAUACUUCUAUGGGUCCUGUACAUUGGCAGUCCAUCCACUAGUGGGCAGUUCAGAGUGUAAUUCCCUGACAGUAACAACCAUGGCAUCGGUGGAGGAGGUUGUGAUAAUAUAAUUUCUAUAACAAGACAGAAAAGCCGACAGAGCUGUAAAUGUUUGUAAUCGCUGUAAAAAAGUGUAUUCUUUUUCAUGUUUCGUUUGAACUAUUGGUUCUAUUCCAUCCAAAUAUGUAAGAUUUUAGAUGUCAGAUUAUUUCAGAUUAUUGUGACAAAUGUUUGUCACAGUUACCUUAUUAAAUAACAAUAUAUGGACAGGACCUCACUCAUUUUUGCUGAUCAAGAUAUGGUCCAUAGUGUUUAGACAGUAAGAAGAGCCCAUUAAUAUGAUUAAAAUUUUAAAAUGCUUAAAUGUGUAGGAUAUUUAAAAAAAGUUCAUAAUGUGGAUCAGGUUAGGCAUGAUGAGUCCACGGAAGCGGAAGUAAAUAGCUGACUGACCACAAAUUUUCAGUCAAAUUUUUUGUAUAAAUUGAUCAGUCAUUGUAAAAGACUACAGCAGCAGUAAAACUGUAGUGCACACACACACACACACACACACACACACUGCUGCUGUAGUCAGGGAGGAGAGAACAGAUCAGCAUGAGUUGCUAAAAGUAUUGCCUCUGCCUAAAAACAAACACACAAACACAACAGAAAAUAUCAAAGAAGGAAUAAGUUAUGAACGCUUUGUUAUUUAUCUUGUUUAUUUAUCAUACGACAAGUCGAUAAAAUAAUUAUCACGAUAGGCCUAAAUAUUCUUAAUAAUUAAAGUUCACUACUCUUUCAAUGGAUUAAAUUGCAUUAUUAUGAUAUUACAAUAUCAUUAUAUCAGUGACACAAAACUGUCUUAAAAUGUCAAUUAUAUAAUUUAUCAAAAUCAUUUUUGGGACAAUACAUCAUCCAAAGAAAGAUGGUUAUCGUGACAGACCUACUUUCACAGAUUGUGACAAUAUAAUAAAAAUACAGAGCAUGGACA
ensembl:lncRNA